AACAUACUCCCUCCGUUCGAAAUUACUUGUUGCACAAAUGAAUAAAAAAGAUGUAUCUAGAACUAAAAUACAUCUAGAUACAUUCAUUCUUAUGACAAGUAUUUCCGGACGGAGGGAGUAGAUU
rnacentral:pre_miRNA from 1 species